GGGGCUAUUACUAAUGAAUGCUUGAUUGAUUAGAUGUGUUCAUGUAUUCUACAUUGAAUUGAUUGCUCUUAUUAUGCAUGUAUGUUAGCUCACCCAUUUUUUUUUGUGUGUGACGAUGAUCGUAUAACGUUUGUUAUAGGGAACAUAUGAAAAAAUUUUAGGUGCUGAGUAGACGCGUGAGAGAAGGGAAAAGUCAUGUUAAGUUUUC
rnacentral:lncRNA from 1 species